CAGUUUGGGCUCCCAUCUCCUUUUUCCUCCGUGAUGUAGUGCAUAACGGUGGGACUAAUGCUGGUGUCAAGAGGCUGGAGAAAAGCGGACUCCUCUGCCUUGGUUAAACAUUGGGAAUAGUUUGCUGGCUGUUUCUGCAUUGUUUAGGGCCAAGGUCUGCACCUCUGAAUUUGUGUAAGUCACGGAGGUUGCUCCCUCACCUGGGCCUUCUUUCUUUGGCUUGUUUAGCUCGGGAGCCUGGAAGUGACUUCCUUCUGCAGGCAAGCUCCUCAAGUUCCUCCCUGGAUCCAGAAUAAAUGUACCUUUGAGUUGAACCUCAGACUCGAGCUCCAGCAUU